UGUCCAGGGUGGGAAUCGAACCCACAACCUUCUGCUUACCGGGCAGGUGCCAUGUCCACUAGGCUACCCUGGAC
rnacentral:tRNA from 1 species